GAGGGGAAAAAAAAGUUUUAGUAAUACCCUUUUCCAACCUCGAACUCUCCGAAAACCAGACACUUUUUACUCUCGGCUUCUGCCCCGACGAACUACCCCAAUGGCAGAAAGCAACCUACCAGAAAUUUUGAAACCUUUUUACCAGCGAGCUGCUGAGGCUGAGGCUCGAUUGGAAAGACUUGAAGCUGCUAUUGCUAGUGACAGAAAUGCUGGGAAUGAUGAAUUAUUGAAUAAGGUUCAUGAGCUUCAGUCAAAGCUUGAAAAUGUGAAAGCAGAACAAGCUUUAGAAAGAGAAAAGGCUCAGAAAGAGCUAAAGCAGCUAAAUGCAGAAAAUGCCAAGCUCCAAUAUCGUGUAACACAUCUUGUUCGAGCCGUAAAGGAUGCUGAUUGUAUGUUACAAUCUAAGUGAGGGAAGAAUGAUAUUCCAUUUUGUGAGCUGAAAGUGUACCAUGAUCAAAAGCAGCAGAUAAACUGCAAUGGUUUAUUUUUUAGCUUUCUUCAAGUUUGUGUACCUGCAAAUGGUCUCUGUUUGGACUACUAAAUGGAGGUAAGUCUCAGAUUGUUUUGGCUUUUGAUUUCAAAAUGAUAAGGUAAACCCCCAAUUCAUCACUCAGUUGAAAACUCCCAAUCCUGACAAUACUCUCAUUCUGUAAAUUUGUCUUUAAGCUGUAACAUGGAAUUCAUCCAGAAUCAGAUUGAUACUUUCUGAAAGCUAAAGGAGAGCAAGUGCUGACUGUAUCAAUCCUUGAGAGAAAACGAUUAGUUUAGAAGAUCGAUCUGAGAGAAAAAGGUGAUGCCCCUGGUUUUUCUGUAGCUGCUGGUGAUUUGUCAAACACGAAAAGAGUUGCUUCUGCAACUGCUACUUAUCAUAAGCCAACUCAAUAGAUUUGCUGAUAAGGGUUGGGGGAGUUGCUACCACAUAAUCUGCUGAAUUGCCACCUGCCUGCAGUUGAAUUAUAACCACAAAAAGUGUGGAAUUUCACAGAAUCCAAGAAUGCACUAUCGUGAAUAAUAUCCAUAUGCAGUUUUCCAAGCGAG